GGAAGGGUGGCUGAGUUUGGCUAAAAGCACCUGUUUGCUAAACAGGCGUCCUCGGGGACACGCGGGUUCGAAUCCCGCUCCUUCCG
rnacentral:tRNA from 1 species